GACGAACGCUGGCGGCGUGCUUAACACAUGCAAGUCGAACGGUAAGGCCCUUCGGGGUACACGAGUGGCGAACGGGUGAGUAACACGUGGGUGAUCUGCCCUGCACUUCGGGAUAAGCCUGGGAAACUGGGUCUAAUACCGGAUAGGACCACUGCCUGCAUGGGUGGUGGUGGAAAGCUUUUGCGGUGUGGGAUGGGCCCGCGGCCUAUCAGCUUGUUGGUGGGGUGAUGGCCUACCAAGGCGACGACAGGUAGCCGGCCUGAGAGGGUGACCGGCCACACUGGGACUGAGAUACGGCCCAGACUCCUACGGGAGGCAGCAGUGGGGAAUAUUGCACAAUGGGCGCAAGCCUGAUGCAGCGACGCCGCGUGAGGGAUGACGGCCUUCGGGUUGUAAACCUCUUUCAGCACCGACGAAGCGUAAGUGACGGUAGGUGCAGAAGAAGGACCGGCCAACUACGUGCCAGCCGCCGCAGUAA
rnacentral:rRNA from 1 species